UGCCAGCCGCCGCGGUAAUACGAAGGGGGCGAGCGUUGUUCGGAAUAACUGGGCGUAAAGCGCACGUAGGCGGAUUGUUAAGUUAGGGGUGAAAUCCCAGGGCUCAACCCUGGAACUGCCUCUGAUACUGGCAAUCUAGAGUUCGAGAGAGGUGAGUGGAAUUCCGAGUGUAGAGGUGAAAUUCGUAGAUAUUCGGAGGAACACCAGUGGCGAAGGCGGCUAACUGGCUCGGUACUGACGCUGAGAUGCGAAAGCGUGGGGAGCAAACAGGAUUAGAUA
rnacentral:rRNA from 1 species